GACGAACGCUGGCGGCGUGCUUAACACAUGCAAGUCGAACGGAAAGGCCUCUUUCGGGGGGUACUCGAGUGGCGAACGGGUGAGUAACACGUGAGUAACCUGCCCUCGACUUUGGGAUAACUUCAGGAAACUGGGGCUAAUACCGGAUAGGAGCUCCUGCUGCAUGGUGGGGGUUGGAAAGUUUCGGCGGUUGGGGAUGGACUCGCGGCUUAUCAGCUUGUUGGUGGGGUAGUGGCUUACCAAGGCUUUGACGGGUAGCCGGCCUGAGAGGGUGACCGGCCACCUUGGGACUGAGAUACGGCCCAGACUCCUACUGGUGGCAGCAGUGGGGAAUAUUGCACAAUGGGUGGAAGCCUGAUGCAGCAACGCCGUGUGCGGUAUGACGGCCUUCGUGUUGUAAACCGCUUUCGCUCAUGACGAAGCUUUGUGUGACGGUAGUGGGUAAAGAAGCACCGGCUAACUACGUG
rnacentral:rRNA from 1 species